rnacentral:rRNA from 1 species
GACAGAGGUGCCGAGCGUUAGGCGGAAUCACUGGGUUUAAAGGGUGCGUAGGUGGUCCGUUAAGUUCGUUGUGAAAUCCCUGGGCUCAACCCAGGAACUGCUCCGAAUACUGGCGGACUUGAGGCCGGUAGGGGUCACUGGAACUGACGGUGGAGCGGUGAAAUGCGUAGAUAUCGUCAGGAACGCCGGUGGUGAAGACGGGUGACUUGGCCGGUUCUGACACUGAGGCACGAAAGCGUGGGGAGCGAACGGG